rnacentral:rRNA from 1 species
CCUACGGGAGGCAGCAGUAGGGAAUUUUUCACAAUGGGCGAAAGCCUGAUGGAGCAACGCCGCGUGCAGGAUGACGGCCUUCUGGUUGUAAACUGCUUUUAUAAGCGAGAAAUAUGAUGGUAACUUAUGAAUACUGAUCGGCUAACUACGUGCCAGCAGCCGCGGUCAUACGUAGGAUCCGAGCAUUAUCCGGAGUGACUGGGUGUAAAGAGUUGCGUAGGUGGCUUAAUAAGUAGCUAGGGAAAUCUGGUGGCUCAACCAUUCAGACUAUUAGCUAAACUGUUAAGCUCGAGACCGUUAGGGGUAACUGGAAUGUCUAGUGUAGGAGUGAAAUCCGUAGAUAUCAGAAGGAACACCGAUAGCGUAGGCAGGUUACUAGGA